AUUAAACGCUGGCGGCAUGCCUUACACAUGCAAGUCGAACGGCAGCACGGGGUUUACCCUGGUGGCGAGUGGCGAACGGGUGAGUAAAGCAUCGGAACGUGCCCUGGAGUGGGGGAUAACGUAGCGAAAGUUACGCUAAUACCGCAUAUUCUGUGAGCAGGAAAGCAGGGGAUCGCAAGACCUUGCGCUCUGGGAGCGGCCGAUGUCGGAUUAGCUAGUUGGUGGGGUAAAGGCCUACCAAGGCGACGAUCCGUAGCGGGUCUGAGAGGAUGAUCCGCCACACUGGGACUGAGACACGGCCCAGACUCCUACGGGAGGCAGCAGUGGGGGAAUUUUGGACAAUGGGCGCAAGCCUGAUCCAGCCAUGCCGCGUGAGUGAAGAAGGCCU
rnacentral:rRNA from 1 species